UACAGAGGUCUCAAGCGUUGUUCGGAUUCAUUGGGCGUAAAGGGUGCGUAGGCGGCGCGGUAAGUCGGGUGUGAAAUCUCGGGGCUUAACUCCGAAACUGCAUUCGAUACUGCCGUGCUUGAGGACUGGAGAGGAGACUGGAAUUUACGGUGUAGCGGUGAAAUGCGUAGAUAUCGUAAGGAAGACCAGUGGCGAAGGCGGGUCUCUGGACAGUUCCUGACGCUGAGGCACGAAGGUCAGGGGAGCAAACGGG
rnacentral:rRNA from 1 species